GUUGGAACCUAAAUUCAAAUAGCUGAUGUUUGGAUGCAACGAACGUGACUGGUUUUUAAACCAACGGUUCUAUUUCGUAUCAGUAUUUUGCAUAUCAAAUGAUGCAUUUCUUUGAGGAAAACGCUGACGGGAUAGUGACAGAAAACUCACCG